CCCAAAGAGGUAUGAAAUAUGACACUUGGUCUGAAGAUAAAACAGGAGUUUUUCUGAUAAUAACCAAUUGUACAAAACCUCUUGAAACAUGGAACUGGCAGCGAAAACUGAAGCAGUGGUAAGGAGAUAUGCUUUGGAAAACCUGAAAAGAAAAAGAAAAGUUGUCCAAGAGCUUGGGAACCAUUUCAUAGGUGUCAUUGCACAGAGUUAGUCAUGCUGUUCUGAUUCACUAUGCCAACCUGCACAGCUUCAGCUGCCAGACAGAAUAGAGAGAAGAAUUAGAGACACGAAAGGUAAAGAUCACAGGUUGAGACAGGAACAAUUUACUGGAAGCAGCAAAUGAAAUAAGAAAAUGAAUGGUAACAGCAACAAUAUUAAUAACAAGUGUACCGGAGAAGAAUAAUUCAAAUGCAAUUGCUUACCACACAGAGACCUCCUGACAAUACCCCACUACUGCCAUACUACCUGACCUGGAAGGGACCCCUUCCCCUCGUCCUCAGAAAAUGAGGUGAGAUGGUAUACAAUAACCCCUAGGUCCUAGCCAUACCCCCUGUUUACUGCAAAAAUUAACCCUGUCCUGGCCAGAACCAGGACAAUAUUGAAUUCUUAUGUUCUGCUAAUAGCAAGUGCCCAUGUGACAUUAAAGGAAGCUUGCUCUGACUCGGGAUUUUUUGUAUACUUUUGAGCUUUUCUAUCAUGGUAAUCCGGAGACCAUUUUAGACUUCUAGAUACAAGUUUCUUUCAAAAAGAGAGAACUAAAAGUUCAAUAAAUUAACUUGUCUUCUAAUUUUUUCUUGCAGAGCAGCUGCUCCACUAUGUGACUGUUUCAGUCAUCCAUUCUCUGAGCUUUCUCUAACUCCUCUACAUACUUCCUGCAAUGGAGAAAACAAAGCUGGACAUAGUACCCACAAAACACAGACUCAAUGACAUUUAAACUCAAGCAGAUGCCUCUGAUCUGUUUUCAGCACCCUUUUGGUGAUUUGCCAACAUCCUGUUACAUUUUCAUCUGCUAAUGCAUACUUGGCUGACAAUUUCAAAGAGGUAUCAAUGAUGACUCCUAGGACUGCCUCCUGAGCUGCAAGUUUGAGUUAAGCAUUAUAAAAGCAUCUAGUUGUGUCAUAGAGUAUUUCUUAUUCUGAGUAGAAUCAUGGUUUUGGUGCUGAAUUUUCCUGUGCUUCCUCAGUCAAAAAUAAUAAACCCCCAUGAAGACUGUUUAAUGCAAGAAAUACCUCUUCUGUUGUAGUGAUGCCUAAAGAAAAUUCAGGGAGAAAAAAACUCUGAGGCAAAUUAGUUUCAAAGGUGAGAUAAGGAAAGGGUUUUAAUUUGUGCCUAGGCGUAAGAUUACAAGACGCGCGCGCCCGUCCCUCUGUACAUGUUACAAUUUAUAAUACUGCUUGUCCAAUUCGAGGUUUUAUCCUCCCUCUGGCUUUUGCCCUGAACCACCCUCAGUCACACCCAUUGGGAACUGGGGCUGGGGUCCCUGAGACCCUCUCUUCAUCAAUUUGCAUCUUCGUCGGGGUACAGGGGGCACACAGUUACCCAGAGUUUGACUGUACUCUGCAGUUUAGGCCAAAGUACAAGCAUUCUCCAAACAGAACAGGCCUAUCUUAGAGUGAUACGAAACAUGUCUACUGGAAUUAAGGGGGUAGAAUUGAUAUGGGGAGCAUGGAAUGGGGUAAUAGGUUUGGAGAGUUUCUGUGCUAAUGGUAAGGGAAUGAAAUGCUGCUGCUUCUAAAUCUACUUCUACUGUAUAACUACUUAUAAAACUUAUAAAAAUUAGAAAAAUCAAAAAAACAGAUGGACCUUAAGGCAUCAGUAGUCUUCAUCUUUGCCCUACACUUCGUGGAAAGCCAUUUAUCUGAGUUCAGUGGUACUGUUUUGCAGAAGGAAAAAAGAUAAAAUGACAGCAGAAAAGUUCUUUACUAGAAUAUCAGUUUUCUUCAUAUAAUAACUAAUGUUCUGGUUAUUACCUCUCCUACAGGGAAGAUUUACCUUCUUUUUAUUUACCACAAAUCUUUGAUGCUCCUCCAGAGGUCAGACGACAUCCAUCUAAUAUGUGUUAACUAUUUAAAAGAGCCUGGAAAAACCAUGUUGGAUUCACUUGACUUGAUGAGGCAGUUGAGAUGAAGUAAAAAUAUUAUAGUAACAUUUUAAUAUUAUUGUUCAAGAGUCUCAGAGGAGUGAAGUUUUUCCGAAGCAAAUGCUGGCAUUAUUCUAUAUAAUCCAUAUUAUAAACUGAAUAAAAAUCAGAUAAGGAGACUUCAUCUCUGACAGUAAGAAAAUUCUCAACUCACUAAAGAUUCUGCAAUGCUGCUUGAACUUUCUCAAGAUGAUAGUCCUAUAGGAAAUUUAGCAAUUAACUGAAAUGUAUAUAUAGUUGAUAGCAUUUAGAAAACACCAAAAGAAACAUCCCAUUUUCCCCCCAAAAUAGUGCUUUUCACAACUGUAGGCAAGGACAAACACUGUCACAACAGUGACAAAUAAAGUCACAGAAACACUAGGCUGACUCAGAAAGAGAAGCAGUCUGACAGCCAGCCGAUCUUAGGUUCAUUGUUUGAAAAAUGUUAAAGGGCAAAAUCCAGCAUCACAUUCAGUGCAUGUGGAGGUAGAAAGGGACAUGGAAUGAAGCAGUGGGAGUAUAGGAAUAUGAGAUUAAGAGUAGAGAAGUAUAGGAGUAGGAGUAUAGAAUAAAAUGUCCUUGUUCUAAGAUGGUAUUUAUUUGAUGGUACCUAAGAAUUGCCUAUACAGAUAUUUUUGAUCAACAUGUAAUUUUUUUUCCCCUGGAAUUCACUGCCAGUAAUGUCUCAAUCUGGAAGUAGAUAGUUCUUUUCUCACACAUUUUUCCACUGUUCUCCUCAACAUAUUUUAUUCCAUUUUCUCCUGCUUUCAGCUCCAACACCCAAUUUCAAUUUUUUCUAGAGAAGUCAUAAAUAAAUCCUUAUACUGGCAGAGAAGACUAUCAAACAGGAAACCAAUUCAGUGCAAUCCCAAGCACAACUACAGGCUGAGCAGAGAAUGGAUCGAGACUAGCCCUGAGGAGAAGUAUUUGGAGGUGCUGGUGGAUGCGAAGCUGGACAUGACAUGGUAAUGUGCACUUGCAACCUGGAGCAAGCAACCAUGUCCAUGGCUUCCAACUCAAACUGUUCUAUGAUUCUGUAAUUAUAGGGAUGGUGUUUCUGUGUGUUCUCCAGCAUGUGUUAACUACUGAAUAUACAUUCACUGCAUGAAAAAUAUUUUAGUAUUUUUUUUUUUUACAUAUGUAAAAUACGUACACAUUUUAUUCUAUGUGACUUUAUUAAUAGAUAACUUUGUUUACAUUAUUGAGCACCAACUGAUAUUCUGCAAAUUCAGAUGUCCAACCCACAAGGUUAGAGAUGCAAACCAUGCUGACACCGUCUGAUGCAGUUUGAAGGUAUAAUGGCAUGGUGAUGCUGGAAUUUUUAGCCAUUAUUUUAAUUAUUUAGUUGUUGCAUAUAGUGCCUGCUCAUUUUACAUUACCACCUGAAAAGUCUAAUUAAGGCCCAAGUUCUGCUGUGGCAUAUGGCCUAACAUGGCACAUGCUGUAUCUGGUGUGUUGACUUUGGCUGGCUACCAGACACGCAUCCAACCCAGUUGCUCUUUCACCACUCUUCCAAGGGACAAACAAAAAGAAAACAAGAUAGAAAUGCCCAUAGGCUGAGAUAAAGACAGAGCGACAGCUUGCUAAUUACUAUCAUAAGCAAAACAGACUUGACUUGAGGAAGAUUAAUUUUCUGCCAGUUAAAAAGAGUUUGAUGAUGAGAAUCAAAGACACUUACCUACCCGCUCCCUUUUCUUCCCACCUCAACUUCACUCCUUCAUUCCCAACUCCCUUAUCUCCUUCCACCCCAAGUUGCACAGGCACUGCCAGUGCCUGUAUGAUUAUUGGGAGAGUGUAAGACACGUAUGAUUCUCAAUCUUGAAAACUAAACAAAAAUUCAAAAAUAUUUUUUUUUUUGGCCAUUGUCCUGGUUCCAGCCAAGACAGGGUUAAUUUUUUGCAGUAGCCAGAAGGGGGCAUGGCUAGGACACACAGGUUCUUUUUACCACCUCCUGCCAUUGACAGAGUGAGAAGAAUGGACUCUCUUCCAGCGAGAAGGGGUCCCAUCUGGUAGAGAAAAUAUGGCAGGAAGACCCAUGCAGUGUUGUUUAUUGUCACAAGGUCUGUGGUGAGCAUUUUUUGAUGUGAACCACUCUCCCUUUUGUACACUUUUUUUAAUUAAUAUUAUUGCUGUUACUGCUCAUUUUCUUAUCUCAUUGCUUUUUCCAGUAAAUUGUUCUUAUCUCAACCUGUGAUCUUUGUCUUUUGUGUGUCCAG